UCCUUAUUCCUGUUUCCAGAUGGGAAGAAAAAAAAAAAAAGACCUGGUGCUAACAGAAGUCACCAACAAAGAUCUAUGUGCGUUUUCUCUCUGGGAAGCACCUGGAGAGUGCAGAUUUUGUGUUAUUUCUCUCUAUCUCCCUUCAGGGCUAGCACAGUGCUCAGCUCAUGCCAUUAAAUGAUUGUGGAAGUUAUGUAAAUUUAGGUUUCUGAAUUUGUUCUUCUCUCAGGUGAGCUGGGAGGAAUAUGCUUCAGCGAGAGUCCACAUGGCUUACCUCACAGGGGACAGAGGGAUCAUGGAUGAAGAUGGUUCCUUCUGGUGGACUGGUAGAGCUGAUGAUGUCCCAGAUGGUCCAAUGCAAUAAUGGCAAUACUGGGGACUCAAUGAGCAAAAUGUGCAAAUUUUCCAACUACCUGGGACAAAGGCAUUGCUGUUACUCCUUCGAAAUCUCAAGUCCACACCCUUUGGAACUCAGACUCUCACCCUUGGAGACAGUCACUGGACAUCCAUGCAUUCGACCACUGCCCCUUUUGACCCACAGGUGGGAAAAGGGGAUAUAUUUCAAUAAUGCAAACAUCUAGUUGCUUCUAUUAAAACUAACCAUGUUGUAGCAGAGCAAUCUUUUCACAGGCCACUCCCAGCGGACACUUACCUUGAUCAUCACACCUUGCAACCUGGAGAGUCUCUCCAUUGGAAAAGACACCUCCACAGAGAUUCUCUUCAACCUCCCUUGAGAGGCCCUUAUCACAUACUGCUAACCAAACCUUGUGCUGCCAAAUCCCAGGGAAUGGACUCUUGGGUCCACGGGACACAUUUAAAGAAGGCACCAAACCCUGACUGGACCUGUACACCAGCUGGUGACAAGAAGUCCUUUGUAGAAACACUGUCUCCAAUGAAGUGAUGCUGGCUCACUGGUCUCAGUCUUGAGCAGAUACAGACUUCACAUGGGAAGUUCGUGAGUUUCUCCCAUCUAACCCUCCCUGUUCCUCAGGUGUCACUUGAGUAGUUUACAACUGCCAUGCACAUUCCCUCCAACAUGAGACA